rnacentral:lncRNA from 1 species
AAAAUACCAGCUAUUCAUUCAAAAGGAGAGUGUGAAAAACGUAAAAAUCAGAUGAAAACCCUCAACUCCAGAGGAUCAAAUAAAAAAUAAAGAUUUUUGUUCUUAUCAAUCAAUAGUAUAACAAGGAAGUCCUCUGAGAAGAGAAUUCACUUAUACACAAAUUUCUGGAACAAGAGCUGUGGAUGAGAAAAUAGGCCCCCUGCUCCCCAAGGACAAAGCUGAGACAAGAUGAAGUGAAAACCUUGCGAGCUCCUCAC